ACAAAAUGUAGCUUAAGAAAAGCACUUCGCUUACACCGAAAAGAUGUAUUAUAAUACAUAUCAUUUUG
rnacentral:tRNA from 1 species